rnacentral:rRNA from 1 species
UGAACGCUGGCGGUAUGCUUUACACAUGCAAGUCGUACGAGAGUUUUUAACUCAAGUGGCGGACGGGUGAGUAACACGUAAGAAUUUACCUUUAGGAGGGGGACAACAACUGGAAACGGUUGCUAAUACCCCAUAUGCUUUCGAGUGAAAUGGAAUUUCCGCCUAGAGAGAAGCUUGCGGCUGAUUAGCUUGUUGGUAAGGUAAUGGCUUACCAAGGCGACGAUCAGUAUCUGGUUUGAGAGGACGAUCAGACACACUGGAACUGAGACACGGUCCAGACUCCUACGGGAGGCAGCAGUGGGGAAUUUUCCGCAAUGGGCGAAAGCCUGACGGAGCAAUACCGCGUGAGGGAUGACGGCCUAUGGGUUGUAAACCUCUUUUUUCAGGGAGGAAGAAAGUGACGUGUACCUGAAGAAUAAGCAGCGGCUAACUCC